rnacentral:rRNA from 1 species
GACGAACGCUGGCGGCGUGCUUAACACAUGCAAGUCGAGCGGUAAGGCCCUUUCGGGGGUACACGAGCGGCGAACGGGUGAGUAACACGUGGGUGACCUGCCUUUAGCUCUGGGAUAAGCCUGGGAAACCGGGUCUAAUACCGGAUAUGACUCCGCGGCGCAUGUUGUGGGGUGGAAAGCCUUGUGCGGCUGGAGAUGGGCCCGCGGCCUAUCAGCUUGUUGGUGGGGUGAUGGCCUACCAAGGCGACGACGGGUAGCCGGCCUGAGAGGGCGACCGGCCACACUGGGACUGAGACACGGCCCAGACUCCUACGGGAGGCAGCAGUGGGGAAUCUUGCGCAAUGGGCGAAAAGCCUGACGCAGCGACGCCGCGUGAGGGAUGAC